CAGGGAGGCUUCCUGACACGUCUGAGUAGAGCACCUCAUCCUCUCCACCCUCCUCCUUAGCUGUGUCUCCACGGCCCAUGUUCAUUCCUGCUUCCAGGACAGUCCCUGGCAUACAGGAGCAUUAAGAAAAUAUUUGCUGAGUGAGGACGUAAACGAAGGAAUCAGCGAGCGAGUCGAAGCGUGCCGCAAAGUUAUGGAUGAUGCUGUUUGUAAGUUGCGGAGAUGUUCAACGAGGGGAUGAGAGUGGAGCUCAGCUAAAAGAAAAUCAUCCCAUAAAAGGAAAUAAAAAUGUUUAUUCGACCGAGUUAUGAUCAAGGAGAAGAGAACUUGGAUCUCAUUUCAUGUACAGGCACCAUAUUGUAAAUUCCUGGAGGCCACGGGACCAGGUUUCAAUCCUGUUUUAUCCCCCAGGCCCCUAGCAUGGUAGCAUGGUACCGGGAAUACAUGAGGCACCCACACAAUGUUUGGGGGCCUUAAGCAAUACAGCAUAUCCAUGAACCUUGUCAUUAAAACAGACUUUGGUCACCCAACGAUGUCAUGAACAGAGAAGGUUAGCCUAUUUCAACUAUCAUUACAUUUUUUCUUGAUCAUCCCUAAUCAUAUGAGACUAGUGCACCAAUUUUCCUCAAUAUGCUGGUAGCUGGAGAGUUAGGAAAAAACAUUAAAUAUUACAUUGCAAUUGAAGAGAAUUUGCUAACCUUCACGGGAAUGAAAGGCCCAUUCAGUGGAACGGAGAAGGACUAGCCUAUGAAGAGCAUUUAUGGGGUGGGCUUUGCGCUCGGCCCCGCCGUGGACAGAGGCGCUGUCUUAAUGAUCCAGAGGAAUGCUCAGGACACACUUGGCUGCUGCAGGAGGUGGUGUGGGGAGUCUGGCUGGGCUCCUUUAUUUUAGUUUGGUAAACCAGCCACUCUACCUCCUCAUGGAAAAUUGGUACAGUGUGUCUUGAGGCAGCAAACUUUAACAGCCUUGAAUUCAUGGACAUCUCAGAGGGACGGGUCAACUCAGCCACCGUGUUGAAACCCCCUGAGACACUCAGAAUCAACGGCCACGAGAAGUGGCCUCUGCCUCUGCAGGCUCAAUGCUUAUCACUCCACAACGGUUGUGCUUCACAUUUCGACUCAAUAUUUAAUUCAUCGACGCCGAGCCUGAAAACUGAACGUACUGUCAGAGUUGGCAAGGGGACUCGAAAUUUAUGUUUUAAUUAGCUGGCCAUUUCAUCAAAAGGUAGACACGAUGUCUGUGGUUUAUAACUUUGAAAUAAACUCUAUGUGAGGGGGAAAAAAAUGCCGGGCACAUAUAGAGCUCAUUCAUGUCCAAGUUUAUGGUUUCUCUACCUGUGAAAAGGAAAGAGUUUGUGAAGGUAUAUUAUGGCGGAAAUUUACACAGCUUUCUUGUUCAUCAAAUUAAGCCAGUGCAUAUUUUCCUCAGCAGAAUAUGAAGCUAAGGUGUGGCUGCUUAAAUUAGGAGCAGGUAUUUUUCUUUGCAGGCGGAAUUUCUUCUGAAUUGUUCAAUGAAAGUACCACACACGUGGGAAAGAAAGCUUGCAGGGGGAAUUGGGUAGGGGUCUCUUUUUUCAAGUAUAUAAACUCAAGUACCACACAUUAAACUUUAAUAGACGCUGCUUGCUGGGAGGGAAAUUCAAAGCCAUUGCCAAGGAUGACACGCUUGACGCUAAUGGUCCGGUGAAAUCGGUGAGAUUAUUCAUACAAGCAAAGCCUUGACUUCCUAAUACCACAGCUGGGAAAUAGAAGUCAACCAAAGCUUUGUUGCUCCUCGGUCGAACCUUUGGAUGGUCAAUGCCCAGGAAAGAGCCCUGUCUAAACUGGUCACACGCCCAGCCUCCAACACAAAGAGCCUUGGGACAGAUGUGACGGGGAGGGAGGAAGGUCAUUCACUGUGUCACCCCCAUUCUUGUAGACCCCAACCCCAUCCUUAUGAUGUACUCUGCUCUAAGAGGGCUAGAAAACCAGUAUCUUUCAUAGUAAUGACUUCCAGUUUACAGCCUUCAUUUGUUAUAUUUCCUCAAUAGCUGUUGUGUUGAGAUUAACUGCAUAAAUGGUCUGCAGCUGUCUGUUAUGAAUUAAGGGAGUUUAAUCAAAGUAUUUCUAAUGUACAGCAUAAUGAUAAUACAUGGGGGAAGUACUAUUUAAGAGAUAAUGAUGGCUUCAGAAGAUCACUGUUGUAAUGUUUAGUGCAUAUGCCUUCAGCAUUGAAUUUGUUGUUGUUCUGAAUAUGCUUAAUGGAUCACUGAAAGGCUGCCUAAUGCAGGAUUGUUUGAUGGGGCUGACAGAGCUGGAAUUAGCCCAUUGCUGUUUACUGCAUACAGCCAUUAAGAUUAAUUGCUGCCAGAUAAUUUUGACUGUUUUUAUCUUCUGGAAAAAGUGUCACUAAUGGGUUUAUAAAUUGGUUCACUAUUGCUAAUAGUAAGGCCAGUGUAACGGGAUAGAAUGUCAGCUAAUUCUAAAGAUAAAGGUAAAAAAAAGUAUAACGUACUAUAUGGCUUUUGCUAGUUUUAAGGGAUACUGUUAUCUAAUAACAGACACGCUGAUAUAUGAUGCUCAUUAAUGCUAUUUCCUGAGCUUUGGGUUGAACCUAAUAGAUGCUAAUAAAGUCUUAUUUGAUGUCCCAUU
rnacentral:lncRNA from 1 species